AGCGAACGCUGGCGGCAGGCCUAACACAUGCAAGUCGAACGAACCUUUCGGGGUUAGUGGCGGACGGGUGAGUAACACGUGGGAACGUGCCUUUAGGUUCGGAAUAACUCAGGGAAACUUGUGCUAAUACCGAAUGUGCCCUUCGGGGGAAAGAUUUAUCGCCUUUAGAGCGGCCCGCGUCUGAUUAGCUAGUUGGUUGAGGUAAUGGCUCACCAAGGCGACGAUCAGUAGCUGGUCUGAGAGGAUGAUCAGCCACAUUGGGACUGAGACACGGCCCAAACUCCUACGGGAGGCAGCAGUGGGGAAUCUUGCGCAAUGGGCGAAAGCCUGACGCAGCCAUGCCGCGUGAAUGAUGAAGGUCUUAGGAUUGUAAAAUUCUUUCACCGGGGCCGAUACUGACGGUCCCCGGAGAAGAAGCCCCGGCUAACUUCG
rnacentral:rRNA from 1 species